GUCUGGAAAACACACGAAACGCAGAAAAAGAAGUGUUUUCAGCAUUGUAACUAAAGUAACUUUCAAUACCUUUUAUUUAAAACUCAUUAAAAUGCAUACAAGUCCAACACGGCCCAUGUAGGAAUCCCUCCGCUCCUGUGUGUGGGGGACUGAUUUUUCACCACUGAAAGCAAGUGAAACAAGUAAGGGAACAGCGCGGGACUCUGAUGUCACGUCGUUCUAAACCUCAACACUUAGAAAGAAAAGCUCUAGGGACUGAGACCUGUCAUGGUCUCUUAGCAGUGGUUUUCAAACCGUGUUCCUUGGGAGCCCAGGAGCCUCAGGAGGUGUAUCGUGCCACCAGACCGACUGAGGGGAGGCUGUGGGGGAGCCCGGGGACCAUUCUCGCAGAUCUGUGUACUUCUGUUUAUAGAAAGAUUUUUUUUUUUUAAACAUUUUAUUUAUUUAUAUGACAGAGGUCACAAGUAGGCAGAGAGAGAGGAGGAAGCCGGCUCCCCGCUGAGCAGAGAGCCCGAUGUGGGACUCGAUCCCAGGACUCUGGGAUGAUGACCUGAGCUGAAGGUGUUGUGCUAAGGACACAACGGUGGCCAAAACGGACACGUGGUCUCUGGCUUCAAGCAGCUUAUCCAGAUUAACUACGCAAGUGACAACACAAUCACAGACGGUGAGUGAACACAGCUCGCUCUCUCCGGCUUUCGGCAGGUGCACUCGCCGUUCCUCUCUGCAACACCCGCCCCGUGCUCCGGCUCACUCAUUGCAACGCAGCUUUUACCCCCUUCGUGAACCGUUCCCGAGACUUCACAGACGCCCAGCCUGCGGAACGAUCAGUCCUUCCUCUGCGCGCCAGGCUCGCCGUGUCUACCGUGCGGUGCUCACCCUAACCGCAGGCCCAGCGUGUUUGCGUGUCUUUGUACGCGCCAGACUUCAAGGGCUUUCUGAGCUCCUGGGAGGGUACGAGUUUUUCCUUUCUAUCUUGUAUCUCAGCGCCUAGGACAGGAGGUGCAGGGACAGCUCUCGGAAUACGUGAACGUGAGUUUUACUAAUAAGCUGUGUUACACACAGAGGAGGCAGCAGUGUGGAACCACGGCCACCACAGAAGUCCCAACUCAACUGCACUAGACCCUCUGUGCUGACCCCAUUUCAAAGCCAAACUAAGGAGAUAAUGUACGUGUCUAUGAUUUACAACCUGAGUUAUACCAAUUUUAGCUAUUUUCAUUAUUACUUAAGUGUUCGAUACAUUUGCAAAGUAAGUGAACAAAACCAAGAUUUGGACAGACCCUCACAGGUCACCAGGCUCUGCAUGCAGUGGAGGGAUUGCUGAUCAGCAACGGGCUAACCCAAGAAUGUCAGCGUAAAAGCGACGACACUCUCUCCUCGUGUGAUAAACUUGCACGAGAGAACAAAACACGAAGCUGCUACCAGCUCAACCAGAUCCCCACGAACGGGAGUCCUGCAGAUGACGGGCUAAUUCCGCAAGCCUAUUCCUGUCCCCUGCAAGCAGGAGUGUGUAGGGCUCCCACCCAAACUGCUGUCACACUGUGAAUGAAGACGGGAAGUGGACGGUUAAGAAGAAGUAUCCCAGCCUUCGAAUCGGGAGUUCAGGGUAGGACUGGGAUUCUGCAGAGUCCAGAGCAUGCCGUGAGGAGACCAGUGAGGACCAAGAGGGCCUAAUACCGGUCAGCGGCCAGUGCUUGACUGACAGUGGCUUCCAGAAGGCGGAAGAAGGCGGGAGACUGUUCUUCUCUCAAACCCACCUCAACCAGCUGCUGCAGACUCCUCGCUCUCAGAGGGGAAACCCAGCUUCUGAGAAGAAAUUAAAUGAAAUCUUUUGUUCGGGAAGUGCUGCACCCCUGAGGCAGGAAAACUGCAAAGCAGCUCGAUGCCGACAGCUAUCUGGUUGGCAGUGACAGACCCAGGCGCCCUGAGCAACACCUUCUCCUCCAUGAAGACGGAAAACAAGAGCCGCUUCUCCAUGCAGAGACCCAGCUCCGAGGAGCUCCGGGCCCUAGCGAACCAGCGGCUACUUACAACCAGGCCCCGGCGCCAAACACGGGAGAACGCCCUCUGCAGCCGAGCCCCUCACCUUCCCUCUUUAGAAACGGCCCCCACCCGGGCUUGGGGCAGACCCCCUGUCCUCUGCCCCUCGUGCCUGCUCCUGGGCGGUGGAGUCGAUGAACUUCUAGCUCUUUGUUCUGCCUCAGGUGGGUGGUUUCACGGCCAGAGCCACUGGCCCACCGGCGUCCGUCCCCCUGAUCUGCUUUGUCCCACAUCGGGGCCCCCAUCUCACGGACAGAGACCGCACAUUCAGACCCCAGUCUUCAGGGACGUAUUCCUGAGGAUGACUUCUCCUGCUUUUUGGAAAAUGCAAAAGCUCAAGCCCUAUUUCAAUAAAGUGAGAGAAAAUCUUCAGGGGGUAGAACCCAAGUAUCUGCAGCUUAAGAAGCCCGCCAGGGGGUCCGAUGUGCUGCCUUCGUGGAGAAUCACAGCUCCACUGGGAAGGCGCUGCCCCGAAAGGCCUCCCUGGGGGUGAGGAGGGGCCAGACCAGACCGUGGCUGGCCUGCGCCGGCGCCAUCACAGUUCCCUCCUGACUGCCCUCGAACGUGCACACACAAUGGGACUUGGGAUCCUGGAGCCCAGGGGGGAAGGAGAGGACAGGCCUGGACAACCGGCUCACCCAGUAACCGCACGUCUUAACGACAGAAGCGACUCUUGUGCGCCUUUUCUUUCCAGUCUUUUACGUAAGAGAAGAAAGAGAGUGAGUUAAGUUUACUAAACCAAUUAGAAAUUAUCUUUUUGACGGACAGCAAAAUGAAAUGGAAGAAAGAAAUCUUCCUGCUGUAAGACUUAUCCAGUGUUAAAACCAAAGGGCGAGGGGAGUCCCGCCAGCUGCCAACCCACGGCACGUCAGCCGCUGCGUGAGAUGGACCGCGCCAACCAGAGAGCAGCGGUUUCCUAGAGAAAAACCCCGCAAGAGCCAUUCGCCAGAUAAGCUCUUUACAAGAACGCAUGAGUUUUAGGAAUCCUAAUCAGCAAAUGUUUUUCUUGUUCUAGACAAUGCUGCCUCAAAUCUGAAAUCUGAAAGGAUGAAUUUUAAGUGUUACAGUGAUUAGUUUACUAAUAUGGGAACCCACAAGUUACUGCGAAGAUAUUUUGUCGGGCUACUGUCCUUUUCGGUUCACACCCCAUGCAGAAUUCCCACUCUCUCCAGGCAGUCGUUAAUAUUAACAAUUUGCAUAUUUUCUUCCCACCUCACAUGGGCUUCUUUUACUUCCUCAGAUGUGCUCUGCUACUCUCUCCUCCAGGACUUUGAAAAAUGCUGCCUACCCUUUCCUCCGCUGGGCAUACUGCAUCUGCAAUCCUCCCUCUCUCUGAGGAAGCGGUGUAACCGGUUCACGGCUAAGGAAGGCCGGAGGAAUAGGCAGAAGUGUCCCCGACCAAAAGUGAGGGGGGGGACGACGAUGAAGAUCCUGAGGGAGAGAAGACUUUGCCGUGUCCCCAAAUCAAAGAGGGCCAGAGCGGAUGGAGAGCACGCUGGGCGAGAGCCUGAGCAGCAGUGUGAGCUCAGAUCACCCAGAGGCCUGCAUGUCACACUCAUGACCUCAAUGUGUUCCCACAAGUGACCUUCCCAAGGUCAAAGGGAAGAAAGGGCUUGGAAGCCAGUUUCACAUUCAGGCUUUACCAUCCACCAGUUGUGUGAUGUGGGGCAAGUUAUUACAAGUAACCAACGUUGUAAAGGUUUGGAGCUAAUUAAGAAAAAUUUGUGAAAUGACUAGGAUAGCGCCUGAUACAUUACAGGUAUUAGAAAUUUAAUUUAUGAAAUCAGUAAAGAAAAAUACUCUUUUGUUCGAUAAAUGUAUUUUGUUUAUAACGGAUACCAAUCUUUUCUGUUAUUAUGAACAGAUUAUGCACUUCCUUCUCGAAUGUCAAUGACAAUACACACAUUUUGUGUUUCUUUAGUUCCUCACAGUGUAUCCUUGAAAACAAAAAAAAAAAAAUAUUUAAAAACCGUACAGAGGUUCUGUGCUUCAACCCUGGCAGAAGCAGUUACAUUCAUUUUGGUCUGAGCUAGGGUCACUUCUCACCACAUCCACUAUACAGGGAGAUUCCUUUUAAGGGUUAAGGUAGGAUCCUCCAUGCUGAGAAGAGAAGGAGCAGCUUCAGAUCAAAGUUUUCAAGUUUCAUUAUGACACUUUUCAAUACAUUUGGUCCAUGAGGAAUUAAGUUACUGCACUAAGAUCAAGUGUUCACCGAACUCCUAGCUCAGAAGUGAUGCUGCCUUCAGUUUGUGGUUAAAAGUAAUUGUACGAAUCACGGUCAAGCAGACCCGAACUAGUAACAUGACGCGACCACGGUGUCAAGGACACUGUGACAGUUCUUACCGGCUCGGAUAUGAUUCAGCGAAGCCAGCAUCCGCAGCAUGAAAGAGGCCGGCACCGUGAUGGUGUUUCUGGUCUCUUCCAGCAUGAGUUCGUUUCGAGUUAUAACCUAGGAAGCAAGCGGAGCAGCACAUCAAGACCGCGAUGUAGCCGCACCCCGCGGCGGGCUCUCAGCAGGUCUGAGGAGUCGCCUCGUUCUCUGCACCCUAAGGCCACUCGCCGCCACGGAACUACUUCACCGUGCACCUGAGGGAGUGGCAUCACACAACACGACUCUUUCAACUGGCAGAGGGACAAAGGCCGCACUUUGAAGCCGCUUGAAACAUUCAAGAAUUCAAUUUAUCUUUCACCUGCGCUUUGUUUCCCAGAGCAGCUACCUAGGUCUGCUCAUUCUUCCUCCCUGUGGCAGAGUGGAUGCACUUAGUGACACAGCCGUGUUCAGUGAGUUCCCCGGGGCCACUCAGGUUUCUCAAGAAAACAUCACCUCGACUGACGCAAAGUAAUUUUGAAAAAUAAACUUUCGGAGAAGAGUCACCAAUGACCCUGUCUUAGGUACAAGACGGGACUACGUGAGUGUCCAUGAACACCGAGGGAUCUGGGCACAGGAGAAAAGGCAGAAAGGGAGGAAAGAGGAGGAAGGCCAAGGGGCCAAUCUGUCAGCGGCUCCCCAGUAAUUUCAUACACACUUUCAGCCCCGCAGCCCACCCCCAGAGCCCUUUCCAGUCUCGCCCCAAGGAGCUGCUUCCUUAUCCACUCUCCAGUGGUUCGCUUGCCUUAGGACCCCUUGCAAAGUGCCGACCCUUGAUCUCAAGGGCUCCUUAGCACCCUGUCCACCUGGUGAACUCAGUCCAAUUCGUACUUCCUCUGGAGACCCCAUCCAUCCGCCCCAUCUACGAGCACACUGCUUCUUUGCAAGGGCUUCCAGAACACUCUGCAUGCCCUCUACGUUCUGGCUGACUGGUCAUUGUCCCACCAGUCUAUAUGCUCUGAGGGAAGGUUUGUUUUUUACAAUUCGGCACUGUGUCUGACAGAGGCAAAGUUUAUAAAUGUCUAUUAGAAAGCAGAUAUGGGAAUUGUGAUUGUCAACCUUGGUCUAGACUACCGGUUUUCUAACUUACUAAUAACACUUUUUAGCAAUGGACCCUUAUUCCAUGUUUUUAAAAGGGUGCAGCAUCAACGUGAGCUACACGCACCUGUUAACAGAAGCUCGGCCGCCAGUAAGCAGCUGACUAAUGCCAUGAAUCGUUAUGUUCGUAAGAAAUCCUACAGGAAAACCCACCAAUAAAAACCCUAGCUACAGCUGGGGAGGAAACCCCAAGAAUUCAGCUUUUGUAUUAUCCACCUUCCCCUGUCUCAAGCCCACAAAAAACCUAGAGCUUCACAGAGCCCAGUUUGAAAACCGUUGGUUUAACCAGGAGCUCAAGAAAUCUUAAAAUCUGACAGUAAAGGAAAAGAUUCUCCAGCCAUUUGUUCUGCUACUUAUUUGGCUGUGAUUAUGGAGGACAGCCAUAGUAAAACUCAUUUUCUUAAAAGGACAGGUUUUUUUUUUUUUUUUUUUUUUAAGAUUUUACUUAUUUAUUUUUGAAGAUCACAAGAAGAACACAGGCAGAGGGAAAGGAAGAAGCAGACUCCCUGCUGACCAGGGAGCCCAAUCCCAGGACCCUGGGAUCAUGACCUGAGCUGCAGGCAGAGGCUUUAACCCACCGAGCCACCCAGGCGCCCCAAGGUUUUUUAAAUGAUUCUUCAUUGCAAUAAGCACAAAACCAGUCAAAUUGUUUUUCUUAAACUAUAAUAACCUGGUAUUACUAAUAAUCAAUAUUAUAAUAAGCCUAAUAAUAUUUUUGAUGUUUAGCUCUCUAGUAUUACAGCCAUGUUUUAAUCUUAGUUUUUCUUUUUCUUAAAAUUUGACCUCCUUAACUGAAUAAACUUGCUUAUGUUACCGAUUAAUAAUGAGCUGCUUUGGGGUGCCUAGGUGGAGGUGGAUCAGUCAUUAAGUGUUUGGCAAAAGGUCAUGAUCUCAGAGUCCUGAUUUCCAGCCCUACAUCAGGCUUGGAGGAAGGGACCCUGCUUCUCUCCACUCCCCCUGCUGGUGUUCCUGUUCCUGCUGUCUCUAUCUCCGUCAGGUAAAUAAAUCAAGUCUUUAAAAAAAGAAAAAAAAGUAAAAGAAAAUAAUGAGGUGUUUUAAGUCUUCUUAAGAAAGCAUUUCAGGAACAAAGUGAUAUAUGCGUUAUAAUAAUUAUAAAUAAAAGUCUUACUUCAUCAGCAAGUUUUCGGUUAAAAAUCCUGGACUCUUCUAGUGGUGACCAGAUCUUUAUGUCAUAAUCUAUGCCAGAUGAGGCGAGAACUAGAAAUAAAAUGUUGCAUAUUAAUAUAAAGCAUAAAAACAUGCCGUUAAGACACGCAUACACAGGUCACACAUUAUGCAUGUAUGUUAGUGGUGUGUGUGUGUGUGUGUAUACACAUACACGUGCAGCAACACUGAGCCGGCAUGGAAACUGUACUGACGCAUUUAAUGGUCAACUGAGAAUACUAUUUAGAAGAUUUCCUAAAAAAGUUACCCUAGAACAUAAUUUUAAGACCAACUUGCAGUCAGUCCAAUUUCUUUCCUAUCCCCUGCUCUUUUAGGAGAAACAUGGGAAGUGUCCAACGAAAGGCAAGAAUAAGCCAAGCUCCUUUGUUCUGUCGGAUUAACUCGGACAUGUGAAGACUAAUGAGGCUCGGAGACGCAGGCGGAGUCGUGCAAAGUGUGGUCAGCCGAACCUCUUGCAACUUGUAAAACUCAGAAGAAAUAUUAAAGAAUAAAGGCUUUGAUCUACUUCGUCAUACUUUGUGCCAAAAGGAGGUUCUAAGUGUUUCUGUUUUGAACCCAAGGGGAGUCGUAACGGGCUCCCCUGACGGCCUCCUGGAGUUCCCCCACUACUCUCACACUGACGCCAAGAAGGAAACCAGAGCCGGUGCGUGGACUCCUGACACAGCCGUCUUACUUGGGUCAAAUGGAUGCGGCUGCAAGCAGUUGACCACGUGGUCGUCGGCCUCCAGAAGCAUCAGGUGCUCAGCGGUGCGGCGGUCCCAGAUGAAGAUGUGGCCGCAGUCCGAGCCGCUCAUCACGAAGUUAGCGCCCCAGAAAUUGGCUUCUUUUAUCUAGGGUUAACAAGAAAAUUGUGGGAAAAGUCAAAUCAAAGUUACGAAAACAAAGACUCUAUUUUGCUACUGAAAAUAUUAAUUGACUUAGAAAAUAAAACAUUUCCUAAGAGACUCUUUGUCUUCCAUUGUUUUUAAAUGAUGGAAAUUAUCAGCAAGCAUGAUCCCACAGUAAGUGAUGACAGGUGCCCCAUGAAACAGAGACUAUGUUCUGUUCACGGUUGUACUUUUAGGGCCUUAAACAGUUCUUGGCAACAGUAGGUGCUGAAUUAGUAGCUGCUAAAUGAAUGCAUGCAUGUGAUUUCUGGGUUUUGGAAAGUACAAUGGAAACUUCUAUGUCUACAUGUUGUUGAACUUUCCAAAAAUGGUUCCACUUUAGCUUUAUAAUAAAAACAAAUCACAGAAAAAAAUGAAGGGUUUCCUUUUAUAUUUCGCUUUAUGCCAAAAAACAAAAAGUACCAAUAAUCUUUUUAUUAGGUAUUCUCUCACAAUUGAGAAGGAAGGAUGUAAACAUUUUACUUUUACGAAGCAAUGAGACAGAGGACUAGGACACACUGGAAUGGUUAGGAUGACAUUUCUCAGUGGAUGUGUAUCAGUGAGCCACAAAGAAUCUUUGUAGUUCAGGACAUUUUUCAAUCAUUUCAUCGGUAGCUGCUACUUUGCUAUUUUCGCCAAACCAAAGAGGGAGACGGUUUUGUUGCUUAGAGUCCCUGUUGCAUUUAUUUAACUUUUCUUUUUUACUCCUACCCUAGUAUUUUCAUACAGAAUUUUAAUCAGCGAAAUAUAAAAAAUACACAUUGAUUACUUCUAUUAAUAGUGAGCACUGUGUUUAGAAUGAUUGAAUUGUUACCACCAAUGGUAUCUAUAGAGAAAGCUAAGUAGUUCCCUGUCCCAAAGUUACUUUUUUUUAAAGUAAGCUCCAUACCCACCCUGUGCUUGAACUCAGGAUCCCUAGAUCAAAAGCUGCAUGCUCUACUGAACUUUUACCCUUAACUCUGGAGGGAACAAAUUAAAACUGAUUCUUUAGAUACUUUUUGACGACUCGAUGAAUAUAUGAAAACAACACCUUCUAAAUAUGAAUAGUUCAGAGUUCAGAGUUGCAACAUGCUAAUCAUCUUACAAGAUCCCCUUAGUGCACAAUUAAAAUCACACUGGGUGUAUGACUUGUGGACGGUAAAACUUGAAAAGAUCUUAGAGAUCAUCUGGUCUGUUCUUUUUUUUUUU